rnacentral:rRNA from 1 species
AUCGAUGAAGAACGCAGCGAAAUGCGAUAAGUAAUGUGAAUUGCAGAAUUCAGUGAAUCAUCGAAUCUUUGAACGCACCUUGCGCCCUUUGGCUAUUCCGAAGGGCAUGCCUGUUUGAGUAUCAUGAACACCUCAACUCUCAUGCUUUGCCAUGAUGAGCUUGGACUUUGGGGGUCUUGCUGGCCUUUGGUCAGCUCCUCUCAAAUGAAUCAGCUUUCCAGUGUUUGGUGGCAUCACAGGUGUGAUAAAUAUCUACACUUGUGGUUUCCUGCCAAGUAACCUUCAGCAAUGGGGGUUUGCUGGAGCUCAUAAAUGUCUCUCCUCAGCGAAGACAGCUUUGUAAAUGUUUGAUCUCAAAUCAGGUAGGACUACCCGCUGAACUUAAGCAUAUCAAUAAGCGGAGGAAAAGAAACUAACAAGGAUUCCCCUAGUAACUGCGAGUGAAGCGGGAAGAGCUCAAAUUUAAAAUCUGGCGUGCCUCUGGUCGUCCGAGUUGUAGUCUGGAGAAGCGAUUUCUGUGUUGGACCGUGUAUAAGUCCCUUGGAACAGGGCGUCAUAGAGGGUGAGAAUCCCGUCUUUGACACGGACUACAAAUGCUUUGUGAUGCGCUCUCAAAGAGUCGAGUUGUUUGGGAAUGCAGCUCAAAAUGGGUGGUAAAUUCCAUCUAAAGCUAAAUAUAGGCGAGAGACCGAUAGCGAACAAGUACCGUGAGGGAAAGAUGAAAAGCACUUUGGAAAGAGAGUUAAACAGUACGUGAAAUUGCUGAAAGGGAAACGCUUGAAGUCAGUCACGUCUGCCAGGACUCAGCCUUGCUUCUGCUUGGUGUACUUUCUGGUUUGAUGGGCCAACAUCAAUUUUGACCGUUGGAGAAAGGCUUUGGGAAUGUGGCACCUUAGGGUGUGUUAUAGCCCUUUGUUGUAUACAACGGUUGGGAUUGAGGACCGCAGCAUGCCUUCAUGGCCGGGGUUCGCCCACGUACGUGCUUAGGAUGUUGGCAUAAUGGCUUUAAGCGACCCGUCUUGAAACACGG